rnacentral:rRNA from 1 species
UACGUAGGGUGCAAGCGUUGUCCGGAAUUACUGGGCGUAAAGCGCACGUAGGCGGGUCGUUAAGUCAGGGGUGAUAUCCCGGAGCUCAACUCCGGAACUGCCUUUGAUACUGGCGAUCUUGAGAUCGGAAGAGGUGAGUGGAAUUCCCCAGUGUAGAGGUGAAAUUCGUAGAUAUUGGGAAGAACACCAGUGGCGAAGGCGGCUCACUGGUCCGAUACUGACGCUGAGGUGCGAAAGCGUGGGGAGCAAACAGG